AUACGUAGGGGGCGAGCGUUGUCCGGAGUGAUUGGGCGUAAAGGGCGCGUAGGCGGCGCGGUAAGUCUGGAGUGAAAGUCCUGCUUUCAAGGUGGGAAUUGCUUUGGAUACUGCCGCGCUUGAGUGCAGGAGAGGUUAUCGGAAUUCCCGGUGUAGCGGUGAAAUGCGUAGAGAUCGGGAGGAACGCCAGUGGCGAAGGCGGGUAACUGGACUGCAACUGACGCUGAGGCGCGAAAGUGUGGGGAGCAAACAGGAUUAGAUACCCUGGUAGUCCACACUGUAAACGAUGAAUGCUAGGUGUAAGAGGUAUCGACCCCUUUUGUGCCGCAGUUAACACAAUAAGUAUUCCGCCUGGGGAGUACGGCCGCAAGGUUGAAACUUAAAGGAAUUGACGGGG
rnacentral:rRNA from 1 species